rnacentral:rRNA from 1 species
GAUGAACGCUGGCGGCGUGCCUAAUACAUGCAAGUCGAGCGAACAGACGAGGAGCUUGCUCCUCUGACGUUAGCGGCGGACGGGUGAGUAACACGUGGAUAACCUACCUAUAAGACUGGGAUAACUUUGGGAAACCGGAGCUAAUACCGGAUAAUAUAUUGAACCGCAUGGUUCAAUAGUGAAAGACGGUUUUGCUGUCACUUAUAGAUGGAUCCGCGCCGCAUUAGCUAGUUGGUAAGGUAACGGCUUACCAAGGCGACGAUGCGUAGCCGACCUGAGAGGGUGAUCGCCCACACUGGAACUGAGCCACGGUCCAGACUCCUACGGGAGGCAGCAGUAGGGAAUCUUCCGCAAUGGGCGAAAGCCUGACGGAGCAACGCCGCGUGAGUGAUGAAGGUCUUCGGAUCGUAAAACUCUGUUAUUAGGGAAGAACAAAUGUGUAAGUAACUAUGCACGUCUUGACGGUACCUAAUCAGAAAGCCACGGCUAACUACGUG